AGAGUUUGAUUCUGGCUCAGAACGAACGCUGGCAGCGUGGAUUAGGCAUGCAAGUCGAACGGGAAGCCGUUGAUCAAUUCUUCGGAAGAGUGAAGCGGUGGAGAGUGGCGUAAGGGUGAGGAACACGUGGGCAACCUACCCUCAAGUUUGGAAUAACCCGGCGAAAGCCGAGCUAAUACCGAAUUAGGUCGCCUGUCGCAUGGCAGGAUGACUAAAGGCGGGGAUCCUGAAAGGGACCUGUCGCUUGGGGAGGGACCCGCGUCCCAUCAGCUUGUUGGUGAGGUAAUGGCUCACCAAGGCUUACGGGUAGCUGGUCUGAGAGGAUGGUCAGCCACACUGGGACUGAGACACUGCCCAGACUCCUACGGGAGGCUGCAGUCGAGGAUCAUUUGCAAUGCGCGGAAGCGUGACAAUGCGACGCUGCGUGGAGGAUGAAGGCCUUCGGGUUGUAAACUCCUGUCAUUCGGGAACAAUUUUCCCAUCGUUAAUACCUAUGGGAGUUGAUGGUACCGAAAGAGGAAGCCACGGCCAACUCUGUGCCAGCAGCCGCGGUAAUACAGAGGUGGCGAGCGUUGUUCGGAUUUACUGGGCGUAAAGCGUGCGUAGGUGGCUUUGUAUGUCGGAUGUGAAAGUCCACUGCUCAACGGUGGAAUUGCAUUCGAAACUGCGGAGCUGGAGUGCAGGAGGGGAGAGCGGAAUUCUUGGUGUAGCGGUGAAAUGUGUUGAUAUCAAGAAGAACACCGGUGGCGAAGGCGGCUCUCUAGAAUGUUACUGACGCUGAGGCACGAAAGCUGGGGGAGCGAACAGGAUUAGAUACCCUGGUAGUCCCAGCCGUAAACGGUGUGCACUUGGUGUGGGGAAGGUAUUGACCCUCCCCGUGCCGGAGCUAACGCGUUAAGUGCACCGCCUGGGGAGUACGGCCGCAAGGCUAAAACUCAGAGAAAUUGACGGGGGCCCGCACAAGCGGAGGAGCAUGUGGCUCAAUUCGAUGCAACGCGAAGAACCUUACCAGGGCUUGACAUGCAGCUGCACGUCCGAUGAAAGUCGGAUUCCUUCGAGGGUGCUGCACAGGUGCUGCAUGGCUGUCGCCAGUUCGUGCCGUGAGGUGUUGGGUUAAGUCCCGCAACGAACGCAACCCUUGUGUUUAGUUGCCACCGCAGGUGAUGAGCCUGCGAGCACUCUAGACAGACUGCCCGUACAAGCGGGAGGAAGGUGGGGACGACGUCAAGUCAGUAUGGCCCUUACGCCCUGGGCUGCACACGUGCUACAAUGGCCGGUCCAGAGAGAAGCAAUGCCGUGAGGCGGAGCAAAUCUCCAAAACCGGCCCCAGUUCGGAUUGGAGUCUGCAACUCGACUCCAUGGAGU
rnacentral:rRNA from 1 species